AUGCGACAGCAAACCCUACAACGUAGUCUUGGACUCAGCUGGGACGUAAACACUGACAACUUCUUAUUUCAAUUAUCAUCAGAAAACAAACCGAUCACUCGGAGAGGAAUUUUAUCUACGAUAAACAGUCUCUACGAUCCUCUUGGAUUUUUGGCUCCAGUGAUUAUUCAAGGGAAACUCCUAUUAAGGAAAAUAGUAUCAGAAACCGUCGAUUGGGACCAACCUCUCUCUGAUGAAACAGCAGCGGAGUGGAAAUCUUGGAGAGAUACUCUAAUUGCUAUCGAAACAUUACGCAUUCCACGUACCUACGUACCGUAUCUCAGCAAAACAGCCACAAAGGAGUUGCAUGUCUUCUCUGAUGCAUCAGAAAAAGCCAUAGCAGCUGUUGCAUAUCUACGCACGACCGACAGUAGUGGUGAACCUAACAUAGGGUUCAUUCUUGGGAAAGCUAAAGUUGCACCAAACGAGUGGUCACACUAUUCCACGACUUGAAUUAUCUGCUGCUGUAUUAGCAGUUGAGAUUACACAAACCAUUGUGGAUAAUUUAGAUUUACAUAUAGACACCGUGAAAUUCUACACAGACAGUAAAGUUGUCUUAGGUUACAUCAGUAAUGAGACAAGAAGGUUCUUUAUCUAUGUCGCCAAUAGAGUAGAGAAAAUAAGGAAAUUUAGCUCUCCAAGUCAAUGGAAUUACGUACCAACUAACCGUAAUCCCGCAGAUUCGGGAACAAGGUCCGUACCAGCCCACGAAAUUCAUAGCAGUGAAUGGUUAUUGGGACCAAGACAACUUCUUUCCUCAGAACAGAAGAAUUCUGAGGACAUAUAUCAGCUAAUAGAUCCAGAGGAAGAUGGAGAAAUUCGUGCAACUGUUAAUGUUGCAAAAACAUUUGCCACACUUGAACAUAAAGGUAUCGGAACUGAAAGAUUCAACAGAUUCUCAAACUGGACAUCACUUGUGCGAGCGAUAGCCUUUUUUAGAACGUUUCUCCCGUUUACACGGGUCAAAACAGGCAGCACCAGUGAAUUCUCUGGAAGGAUUUUCGAAUGCCGAAAAUUUCAUCUUAAUAUCUGCUCAAUUUGAAGUUUACGGAGAAGAAAUAGAUUGCAUUAAACGUCGGGAACAAAUUCAUAAGCGGAGCCCGAUAGCUAACUUAAAUCCGUUUUUGGACGAACGAGGACUAUUACGAGUAGGAGGCCGUAUUGCUAAAUCUGACUUAAACCUCCGUGAAAAGAAACCAUUGAUCGUCCCUGGACGCCAUCAUAUAGCGACAUUAUUAGUUCCGACACUACCAUGACAAGAUAAAACAUCAAGGUCGCCACUUCACAGAUGGAGCGAUUCGAUCCGCAGGAUUCUGGAUCGUCGGAGCUAAAGCGCUUGAUCUCUUCUCUCAUUCACAAAUGUGUGUGACAUGCCGCAAACUAAGAGGAAAAACUGAGUGUCAAAUCAUGUCUGAUUUGCCAGAGGACCGUCUUGAACCGUCACCUCCGUUUACCAACGUUGGAAUAGACACAUUUGGACCCUGGACAAUUGUUUCACGUAAAACACGUGGUGGAUACGCAAACUCAAAACGUUGGGCAAUUCUUUUCACAUGCUUAGUGACUAGAGCUGUUCACAUCGAACUAAUCGAGGAAAUGAGCUCUUCAGCCUUCAUAAACGCCGUCAGAAGAUUCGCCGCUAUAAGAGGUCAAGUUAAAAUUUUCCGAUCCGACCGUGGAACAAACUUUAUUGGCGCAAUCGACGAUUUAAAGAUUGACUCAAUCAACGUUGAAGAUGGACCCUUCAAGAACUUUCUGUACAAUUCUGGUACAACUUGGAUCUUCAAUCCGCCGCAUUCGUCCCACAUGGGUGGAGCCUGGGAGAGAAUGAUUGGUAUCACCAGGAGAAUUCUUGAUUCUAUGCUUCUAAAUGCAGCCGGAAGAAGCCUUACGCAUGACGUGCUCAACACACUAAUGGCAGAAGUUUCAGCAAUAGUGAACUCUAGACCUCUGGUACCGGUAUCAACAGAUCCAGAGAAUCCGUUAAUAUUAACUCCGGCUAUGUUAUUGACACAGAAAACCGACUACAUAUUCACCUCAGAUCAUCUUGGAGAAUUCGAUAAACGAGAUCUAUGUCUUGCCGAAUGGAGACGAGUACAGGCUCUUGCCAGUGUUUUCUGGUCCCGUUGGAGGAAAGAGUACCUGCCGUUACUACAACAACGACGAAAAUGGACCGAAGAUCGCCGUGAUCUCAUCGAAGGAGACGUCAUUCUUCUAAAGGACAAAAACCUUUGCCGUACCCAAUGGCCCGUUGGAAUUAUAGUGAACUCAUUUAAAAGUUCAGACGAACAUGUCCGAAAAGCAGAAGUGCGAGUAAUCGUUAAUGGAAAAGCCACAACCUACACACGCCCUAUCGUGGACAUGAUUCUUCUCGUAGAGAACAACCCUGUGUAAUUAUGUGUAUAUAUAUAUAUAUUGGAUUUAUAGAUCAGGAUAUUCACAGUGUGUUAUAUUUAUGGAAUAGUGAUAUCAGAUAGACAUCAGACGGGGAGUAUUCUGUUUCACAUUCUAUGUUUAUUACAUGUUUUCAUAUUUAUCCGGAACAAAUUGAACUGGACCGAUUUCUCUCAAUCACCGUAUUUAUCGACUACCUUUAAUUUCUGUGACACCGUCCGCUUCAAUAUUUCAACACAUGGAAAAUGGACGACAUUUGAACUUUCUGAGGAAAUCGAGACAUACCACUGUCAAGUACGUUUGAUUCAAUCAUAAACUGUGAUAAAUUAAUCUGUUUAACUCCGUUAUUUUUGGAUAAGUGAUUUAUAAAUACAUACGAACUGUAAGUUAUUUAUUUCCGAGAAAUGAACUGUAAAUUCUACUUUCGUUUUUGACUCGAUUAAUAAUCUUGUAUUUAACUUUCAUAUUUAAUUCGUACACAUUGUAAAAUAUUGUAUUUUUAUUUCUUUCAGUUUACCAAUCUACUGACUAUUAUGUAAACCUUUCUGGUGGAAUUUAUAAUUACAAUUUCAAACAAGUUGUGUUCGUUAUAUCUUCAUCGAGAUUGCGAUUGCAGUCACCUGGUUAA
rnacentral:sRNA from 1 species